CGCGUAGGUGGUUUGUUAAGUUGGAUGUGAAAGCCCCGGGCUCAACCUGGGAACUGCAUCCAAAACUGGCAAGCUAGAGUACGGUAGAGGGUGGUGGAAUUUCCUGUGUAGCAGUGAAAUGCGUAGAGAUGUGGAGGAAUACCGAUGGCGAAGGCAGCCCCCUGGGAUAACACUGACGUUCAUGCUCGAAAGCGUGGGUAGCAAACA
rnacentral:rRNA from 1 species